rnacentral:rRNA from 1 species
AUUGAACGCUGGCGGCAGGCCUAACACAUGCAAGUCGAACGGUAACAGGAAGAAGCUUGCUUCUUUGCUGCCGAGUGGCGGACGGGUGAGUCAUGUCUGGGAAACUGCCUGAUGGAGGGGGAUAACUACUGGAAACGGUAGCUAAUACCGCAUAACGUCGCAAAACCAAAGAGGGGGACCUUCGGGCCUCUUGCCAUCGGAUGUGCCCAGAUGGGAUAAGCUAGUAGGUGGGGUAACGGCUCACCUAGGCGACGAUCCCUAGCUGGUCUGAGAGGAUGACCAGCCACACUGGAACUGAGACACGGUCCAGACUCCUACGGGAGGCAGCAGUGGGGAAUAUUGCACAAUGGGCGCAAGCCUGAUGCAGCCAUGCCGCGUGUAUGAAGAAGGCCUUCGGGUUGUAAAGUACUUUCAGCGGGGAGGAAGGGAGUAAAGUUAAUACCUUUGCUCAUUGACGUUACCCGCAGAAGAAGCACCGGCUAACUCCGUG